AUUGCCCCUUGAGGCGUUGCAGUACGGCUUCUUCUGUCGACACUGUGUCAUAAGGUGGCAUAGAACAAAAGGGCCAUGUUUACACCUGGAAUCCUCCUACACAGUGGGUUCUCAGUGUCAUUAUGGUCCAACAGG
ensembl:snoRNA